GGAGAGGUGGCAGAGUGGCCGAUUGCAUACGCUUGGAAAGCGUAGGUGUCAGCAAUGGCACCGAGGGUUCGAAUCCCUCCCUCUCCGCCA
rnacentral:tRNA from 1 species